GGGCUUAAUUAAAGUGAAGAAUUAGGUUAACACUCCUCUUGACAGGAAUGGGAAAAAAUUCUAGUGACCAACACCACACACAUACAUUUAAGGCGUCACCACCCUUUUAUAGCCACCUAACAAUAUUUUUU